GAUUCGCUGACGAGUGGCGGACGGGUGAGUAAUGUCUGGGAAACUGCCUGAUGGAGGGGGAUAACUACUGGAAACGGUAGCUAAUACCGCAUAACGUCGCAAGACCAAAGAGGGGGACCUUCGGGCCUCUUGCCAUCGGAUGUGCCCAGAUGGGAUUAGCUAGUAGGUGGGGUAACGGCUCACCUAGGCGACGAUCCCUAGCUGGUCUGAGAGGAUGACCAGCCACACUGGAACUGAGACACGGUCCAGACUCCUACGGGAGGCAGCAGUGGGGAAUAUUGCACAAUGGGCGCAAGCCUGAUGCAGCCAUGCCGCGUGUAUGAAGAAGGCCUUCGGGUUGUAAAACCGUUCAGCGGGGAGGAAGGGAGUAAAGUUAAUACCUUUGCUCAUUGACGUUACCCGCAGAAGAAGCACCGGCUAACUCCGUGCCAGCAGCCGCGGUAAUACGGAGGGUGCAAGCGUUAAUCGGAAUUACUGGGCGUAAAGCGCACGCAGGCGGUUUGUUAAGUCAGAUGUGAAAUCCCCGGGCUCAACCUGGGAACUGCAUCUGAUACUGGCAAGCUUGAGUCUCGUAGAGGGGGGUAGAAUUCCAGGUGUAGCGGUGAAAUGCGUAUAGAUCUGGAGGAAUACCGGUGGCGAAUGCGGCCCCCUGGACGAAGACUGACGCUCAGGUGCGAAAGCGUGGGGAGCAAACAGGAUUACAUACCCUGGUAGUCCACGCCGUAAACGAUGUCGACUUGGAGGUUGUGCCCUUGAGGCGUGGCUUCCGGAGCUAACGCGUUAAGUCGACCGCCUGGGGAG
rnacentral:rRNA from 1 species